rnacentral:rRNA from 1 species
AGUGAACGCUGGCGGUAGGCCUAACACAUGCAAGUCGAACGGCAGCACAGUAAGAGCUUGCUCUUACGGGUGGCGAGUGGCGGACGGGAGAGGAAUACAUCGGAAUCUACUUUUUCGUGGGGGAUAACGUAGGGAAACUUACGCUAAUACCGCAUACGACCUACGGGUGAAAGCAGGGGAUCUUCGGACCUUGCGCGAUUGAAUGAGCCGGUGUCGUGUUAGCUGGUUGGGGGGGUAAAGGCCCACCAAGGCGACGAUCCGUAGCUGGUGUGAGAGGAUGAUCACCCACACUGGAGCUGAGCCGCCGUCCAGGCUCCUACGGGAGGCCGCAGUGGGGAAUGUUGGACAGUGGGCGGAAGCCUGAUCCAGCGGUACCGCGUUGGUGAAGAAGGCCUUCGGGUUGUAAAGCCCUUUUGUUGGGAGAAAACAGCUGCAGGCUAAUACCACGCUGGUCUGACGGUACCGAGUAAAUAAGCACCGGCUAACUACGUG